rfam:Reticulomyxa filosa contig122343_1.exp, whole genome shotgun sequence.
GUUAACUGCCGCACAGGCAGCUUUGAAG